rnacentral:rRNA from 1 species
CCUACGGGAGGCAGCAGUGGGGAAUAUUGGGCAAUGGGCGCAAGCCUGACCCAGCAACGCCGCGUGAAGGAUGAAGGCCUUCGGGUUGUAAACUUCUUUUCUCAGGGACGAAGAAAGUGACGGUACCUGAGGAAUAAGCCACGGCUAACUACGUGCCAGCAGCCGCGGUAAUACGUAGGUGGCAAGCGUUAUCCGGAUUGACUGGGUGUAAAGGGUGCGUAGGCGGGACUGCAAGUCAGAUGUGAAAUCCAGGGGCUCAACCUCUGGCCUGCAUUUGAAACUGUAGUUCUUGAGUACUGGAGGGGUAGGCGGAAUUCCUAGUGUAGCGGUGGAAUGCGUAGAUAUUAGGAGGAACACCAGGGGCGAAGGCGGUCUGCUGGACAGCAACUGACGCUGAGGCGCGAAAGCGUGGGGAGCAAACAGGAUUAGAUACCCGAGUAGUC